CACGUAGGGGGCAAGCGUUGUCCGGAUUCAUUGGGCGUAAAGAGCUCGUAGGCGGUUCGAUAAGUCGGGUGUGAAACCUCCAGGCUCAACCUGGAGACGCCACCCGAUACUGUCGUGACUAGAGUCCAGUAGGGGAGCGUGGAAUUCCUGGUGUAGCGGUGAAAUGCGCAGAUAUCAGGAGGAACACCAGCGGCGAGGGCGGCGCUCUGGGCUGGCACUGACGCUGAGGAGCGAAAGCGUGGGGAGCGAACAGG
rnacentral:rRNA from 1 species